rnacentral:lncRNA from 1 species
UGAGGGGGAGAGGACGGCGCGGCCUGUGAAGACGCCCUGGACGAUGAACGGGGAGAGGACGACCUGAGACCGACGGCUCGGACGAGCUACGCUCGGACGCGCGACGCUCGAAGCAGCGGACCUGCCCGGACGCGCGACGCGCGGAGGCACGUACCCGCCCGGACGCACGCGGAGACCGGCCGCUCGCCGCGGACACGCGACGCGUGGAGGCGCGUACCCGCCCGGACGCGCGCGGAGACCGGCCGCUCGCCGCGGACUCGCGACGCUCGGAGGCGCGGUCCGCCGGUCCCGCCCGGACGCGCGAGGAGACCGCCCAGGACUCGCGACGCUCGGAGGCACGGUACCGCCCCGG